rnacentral:rRNA from 1 species
UACAGAGACCUCAAGCGUUAUCCGGAAUCAUUGGGCGUAAAGCGUACCGAUAGGUGGUUAUAUAAGUCAGAGGUGAAAUCUCCGAGCUCAACUCGGAAUCUGUCCUUUGAAACUAUAUGACUAGAGGGGCAAAGAGGAAGCUGGAACGAACGGUGUAGUAGUGAAAUGCGUUGAUAUCGUUCGGAACACCGAUAGCGAAGGCAGGCUUCUGGGUGCCACCUGACACUGCUAGGACGAAAGCGUGGGGAGCGAAUGGG